AUAUGAUAUACUAUUCCAA
rnacentral:miRNA from 1 species